CGGCAGCCGGAAUAAGCACAUGAAGCCAAAUGGCACGGAAGUCCUGCGUGCUACUGUAAAAGAAAAGAAAAGGAGGGAACAUCAACAUAGUGCUGAUCCAGGGAAAUGUUAAAAGAAGACCCUCAGCACAAGAGCCGCUGG